rnacentral:rRNA from 1 species
UACGUAGGGUGCAAGCGUUGUCCGGAAUUAUUGGGCGUAAAGAGCUCGUAGGCGGUUCGUCACGUCGGCUGUGAAAACCUGGGGCUCAACUCCGGGCCUGCAGCCGAUACGGGCGAACUAGAAUUCGGUAGGGGAGACUGGAAUUCCUGGUGUAGCGGUGAAAUGCGCAGAUAUCAGGAGGAACACCGGUGGCGAAGGCGGGUCUCUGGGCCGAUAUUGACGCUGAGGAGCGAAAGCGUGGGGAGCGAAUGGG